GCCAUUACACAUGUCCCUUCUCAGAUGAUGUUGAAAGUGACGAUUCACUUAUUGAGUUGCCCAUUUAAGCUUGUUUGAAUUUGUUCCCGGAUCUUUAGAAAGAUUUUGAGUACAUUAUAUGUCCACACUUUAAUAAAACACCCUUGUAAUGGAAAAAGUGGCUACUCAUAACUUUUGUAUAUAUGUAUUUUGGUAGCCAUCUUCUUGGCC
rnacentral:lncRNA from 1 species